GACGAACGCUGGCGGCGUGCUCAACACAUGCAAGUCGAACGGAAAGGCCCUGCUUUUGUGGGGUGCUCGAGUGGCGAACGGGUGAGUAACACGUGAGUAACCUGCCCUUGACUUUGGGAUAACUUCAGGAAACUGGGGCUAAUACCGGAUAGGAGCUCCUGCUGCAUGGUGGGGGUUGGAAAGUUUCGGCGGUUGGGGAUGGACUCGCGGCUUAUCAGCUUGUUGGUGGGGUAGUGGCUUACCAAGGCUUUGACGGGUAGCCGGCCUGAGAGGGUGACCGGCCACAUUGGGACUGAGAUACGGCCCAGACUCCUACGGGAGGCAGCAGUGGGGAAUAUUGCACAAUGGGCGGAAGCCUGAUGCAGCAACGCCGCGUGCGGGAUGACGGCCUUCGGGUUGUAAACCGCUUUCGCCUGUGGCGAAGCGUGAGUGACGGUAAUGGGUAAAGAAGCACCGGCUAACUACGUG
rnacentral:rRNA from 1 species